GAUGAACGCUGGCGGCGUGCCUAAUACAUGCAAGUCGAGCGAACAGAUGAGGAGCUUGCUCCUCUGACGUUAGCGGCGGACGGGUGAGUAACACGUGGAUAACCUACCUAUAAGACUGGGAUAACUACGGGAAACCGGGGCUAAUACCGGAUAAUAUAUUGAACCGCAUGGUUCAAUAGUGAAAGACGGUUUUGCUGUCACUUAUAGAUGGAUCCGCGCCGCAUUAGCUAGUUGGUAAGGUAACGGCUUACCAAGGCAACGAUGCGUAGCCGACCUGAGAGGGUGAUCGGCCACACUGGAACUGAGACACGGUCCAGACUCCUACGGGAGGCAGCAGUAGGGAAUCUUCCGCAAUGGGCGAAAGCCUGACGGAGCAACGCCGCGUGAGUGAUGAAGGUCUUCGGAUCGUAAAACUCUGUUAUUAGGGAAGAACAAAUGUGUAAGUAACUAUGCACGUCUUGACGGUACCUAAUCAGAAAGCCACGGCUAACUACGUG
rnacentral:rRNA from 1 species